rnacentral:lncRNA from 1 species
AUUUGUUAACCUUUGACCAAAAUUUUACAAAAUUGUCGAUUGUGGUAGGUGUGAAAAUAUGUUGAUCUUUUUGUGCAAAGGCAUAAAUUCUACAGUAAAAAAAAACACAGAAAAAAAUAAAAAUUGAUUUUUAAUGAGUCUGACAUAACAACAGAGUAGGUGUGUUUGCAUAACAAUGUUUACUGACAGAACUAGACGACAG